ACUCCUACGGGAGGUAGCAGUGGGGAAUAUUGCGCAAUGGGCGGAAGCCUGACGCAGCGACGCCGCGUGGGGAUGACGGCCUUCGGGUUGUAAACCUCUUUCGCCAGGGACGAAGCUUUUGUGACGGUACCUGGAGAAGAAGCACCGGCCAACUACGUGCCAGCAGCCGCGGUAACACGUAGGUGCGAGCGUUGUCCGGAAUUAUUGGGCGUAAAGAGCUCGUAGGCGGUGUGUCGCGUCGGCCGUGAAAACUUGGGGCUUAACUCUGAGCGUGCGGUCGAUACGGGCAUCACUUGAGUUCGGCAGGGGAGACUGGAAUUCCUGGUGUAGCGGUGAAAUGCGCAGAUAUCAGGAGGAACACCGGUGGCGAAGGCGGGUCUCUGGGCCGAUACUGACGCUGAGGAGCGAAAGCAUGGGGAGCGAACAGGAUUAGAUACCCUGGUAGCGAG
rnacentral:rRNA from 1 species